GAAAAGAAAGGAGCUUGGGCAGA
rnacentral:siRNA from 1 species